GGAGGUUCCAAGAGCGGACCAAGCCUGUGGAAGAGCCGCCAUCCGGCAUGUCUUGGACGUGGGUUCGACUCCCACCACCUCCACCA
rnacentral:tRNA from 1 species